CUAGAGUUGCAUCAACGGAAGUUUCCAGCGUGUUCCAUCCAGGAUGAAGUAGUGGAUCCUGAGGUGCCCAGGAAAUCCCCCAUCAGACACCACCACAAGCGUAAGAAGGGAAUUCUCCAUCACUGGCCUCACAAUCGUGUACACCCUAGAGUUGCAUCAACGGAAGGAUGAAGUAGUGGAUCCUGAGGUGCCCAGGAAAUCCCCCAUCAGACACCACCACAAGCGUAAGAAGGGAAUUCUCCAUCACUGGCCUCACAAUCGUGUACACCCUAGAGUUGCAUCAACGGAAGUUUCCAGCGUGUUCCAUCCAGGAUGAAGUAGUGGAUCCUGAGGUGCCCAGGAAAUCCCCAUCAGACACCACCACAAGCUUAAGAAGGGAAUUC